CCGCAAGAUGGCGGCGGCUGGAGUGGCCCGUUUGAGGCGGGCGGCCUCAGCCGUGUUGCUCCGGGCCCUGCGCCUGCCCGCCCGGGAGCUCUCAGCUCCCGCUCGACUCUAUCACAAGAAGGUGGUUGAUCAUUAUGAAAAUCCCCGGAACGUGGGGUCCCUUGACAAGACAUCUAAAAAUGUUGGGACUGGAUUGGUGGGGGCUCCAGCGUGCGGUGACGUCAUGAAAUUACAGAUUCAAGUGGAUGAAAAGGGGAAGAUCGUGGACGCCAGGUUUAAAACAUUUGGCUGUGGUUCUGCCAUUGCCUCCAGCUCGUUAGCCACCGAAUGGGUGAAGGGGAAGACGGUGGAGGAAGCCUUGACCAUCAAAAACACAGACAUCGCCAAGGAGCUGUGCCUGCCGCCCGUGAAGCUGCACUGCUCCAUGCUAGCUGAAGACGCCGUCAAGGCCGCCCUGGCUGAUUACAAACUGAAGCAAGAACCCAAAACAGGAGAGGCCGAGAAGAAGUGAGCCCCGGGUGAGGGGGCCUCAGGCCCCACAGGCUGCCAGCGGCCCAGCCACGCGGUCACGUGGGUGUGCAGAAGCCCUCACACUACAAUAAAAGCGCUCUGAGAUCCGCACAGCCUUUGCUGCUCACGUUGCCAGUCUAACUCAAGCAAAUACACAGCCUAAUUCUGAACCCUGUGGUUUCCUGCAGCUCACGUUCAUCGCCUUAACCUUGCGUGUGUCUAGUUCGAUUUGUGUGUAUGACCUCAAA